rnacentral:antisense_RNA from 1 species
CUUCACCGAACCCAGCCACAGCGGCCGAUCCUCCGGCCGCUCCUGACCGUACGUCGCCAGCAAUGCCUGCGCCUC